UGGGGAAUAUUGGACAAUGGGCGCAAGCCUGACCCAGCAACGCCGCGUGAAGGAUGAAGUAUUUCGGUAUGUAAACUUCGAAAGAAUAGGAAGAAUAAAUGACGGUACUAUUUAUAAGGUCCGGCUAACUACGUGCCAGCAGCCGCGGUAAUACGUAGGGACCAAGCGUUGUUCGGAUUUACUGGGCGUAAAGGGCGCGUAGGCGGCAAUUCAAGUCAUCUGUGAAAUCUCCGGGCUUAACUCGGAACGGUCAGAUGAUACUGCUUUGCUAGAGUGCAGAAGGGGCAAUCGGAAUUCUUGGUGUAGCGGUGAAAUGCGUAGAUAUCAAGAGGAACACCUGAGGUGAAGACGGGUUGCUGGGCUGACACUGACGCUGAGGCGCGAAAGCCAGGGGAGCAAACGGGAUUAGAUACCCCCGGUAGUCCCUGAGCGGGCUGGCAAGGCGCAU
rnacentral:rRNA from 1 species